UUCCGGGAGGGAGCAGCCAUGUUGCAGUGAACCGACAACACCAAUAAUAUAAAGAACAAAUCCAGGAAGAAAUGGAACCAUACCCUGGAAGCUUGAAGUUACAGUGGUUCAUUUGGUCAACCUGCUCUGAAAAUAAAGGAAAAGAUUCUCAUGUUGAAGGUAGGGCAUGUGCCUGCAUUUUCUCUGCUUAAGCCACAGGGAUCUCAUUAAGGAUCGGGACACUAACACUGAUGGCUUCAUUUUGGGCACAACUCUCAGCAGGAAAGCCCCAUACAAAGACUGUAGCUCAACAGGCUCCUCUGUCCAUGGGAUUUUUCAAGGCAAGAAUACUGGAAUGGGUUACCGUUUCCUUCUCCAAGGGAUCUUCCAGACCCAGGAAUCGAACCCAGAUCUCCUGCAUCACAGGCAAAUUCCUGCAUUGCAGUCAUGUAUGGAUGUGAGCGUUGGACAAUAAAGAAAGCUGAGCGCCAAAGAAGUGAUGCUUUUGAAUUGUGGUGUUGGAGAAGACUCUUGAGAGUCCCUUGGACAGCAAGGAGAUCCAAUCAAUCCAUCCUAAAGGAAAUCAACCCUGAUAUUCAUUGGAAGGACUGAUGCUGAAGCUGAAGCUCCAAUACCAUGAUGUUCUGAUGCAAAGAACUGACUCAUUGGAAAAGACCCUGAUGCUGGGAAAGAUUGAGGGCAGGAGGAGAAGGGGAGGACAGAGGAUGAGAUGAUUGGAUGACAUCAUUGACUUGAUGCACAUGAGUUUGUGCAAGCUCCGGGAGUUGGUGAAGGACAGGGAAGCCUGACAUGCUGCAGUCCAUGGGGUCACAAAGAGUCAGACAUGACUGAGCCUCUGAACUGAACCAAAUACAAUGUAAAUGCUAUGUGCGUGCAUGCUGUCCUUCAGUUGUGUCCAACUCUCUGCGACCCCAUGGACUGUAGCCCACCCAGCUCCUCUGUCCAUGGGAUUCUCCAGGCAAUAAUACUGGAGUGGGUUGCCAUUUCCUCCCCCAGGGGAUCUUGCUGACCCAGGCAUCAAACCCAGGUCUCUUGUGUCUUCUGCAUUGGCAGGCAGGUUCUUUACCGCUAGAGCCAUGCUAUGUAAAUAGUUGCUAGUGCAUGCCAAAUUCAAGUUUUGCUUUUUGGAACUUCCUGGAAUCUUAAAAAAAUAUUUUUGACCCGCAGUGGUUGAAUCCACAGAUGUAGAACCUGUGGAUACAAGAGGCUGCCUAAAGCCUUCUGGUGAACCUUACCCCACUCUGC
ensembl:lncRNA